UCGGGAAAAUUCUGCAAUGUACGAAAGUGUGACAGAGCAAGCCAAAGUGAUUUUCUUUUAGAAAAUCUUUUGUGAAAUGCAAAAAGUUUCACGAAUAAGGACCGGGAGAGACUGGUGCCAGCCGCCGCGGUAAUCCCAGCGGUCCAAGUCGCAGCCACAUUUGUUGGGUCUAAAACAUUCGUAGCUUGCCUUGCAAGUCUUUUGUGAAAUCGGAACUCUUAAGGUUCCGUCGGGCAAAAGAUACUGCUUGGCUAGAGACCGGGAGAUGUAACGAGUACAGAUCGGGUAGUGGUUAAAUACGUUGAUCCUUUCUGGACUAACGAUAGCGAAGGCACGUUACAAGCACGGAUCUGACAGUGAGGAAUGAAGGCUAGGGGCGCAAAGUGG
rnacentral:rRNA from 1 species